rnacentral:rRNA from 1 species
AGCAGCCGCGGUAAUUCCAGCUCCAAUAGCGUAUAUUUAAGUUGUUGCAGUUAAAAAGCUCGUAGUUGGACCUUGGGCCGGGUCGGCCGGUCCGCCUUCCGGCGAGCACCGACCUACUCGACCCUUCUGCCGGCGAUGCGCUCCUGGCCUUAAUUGGCCGGGUCGUGCCUCCGGCGCUGUUACUUUGAAAAAAU